rnacentral:rRNA from 1 species
AUGGACAAGCUGUGCGCGGACGCGCUCGCCGACAUCCUCCGCCACCUCCCGCCACGCAACCUCGCCGCCUCCCGCUGCGUCUGCACGGCGUGGCGCGCUGUCGUCGACGGCCACCGCCUGCUGCGCGCGGACCUGCUCCCGCUCUCGCUUGACGCCGUCAUCUUCACGACGGGCGACCCAAGCGACCCACUCCUCUUCUGCCGCCCCACCACGGGGCGCAGCAUCAUCACCAGGUUUGACUACAUCGACGCCGACAUGGAGCCGUGGUACGUGUGGUCUCCCUUGGACUGCUGCAACGGCUUGCUCCUUUUUGAUGACCACGUGGUCAACCCCGCGACGCGGCAGUCCGUGCGGUUCCCCACGUACCCGCCGCCGUGCGCGGUGCCGGGCUGCCCAAGCUGUAAAGACAUCGAGCGUAACCAGUACCUCGUCUAUGAUCCUACCGUGUCGUCGCACUACGGGGUGGUCUUGAUCCCUCAUAUUCCCCGCGAGCUUUCCAUAGGGCACAUCACAAAACAUGCAUGCGGUCAUGGAGCCGACAUCUUGGCAAUGGAGUGGCCACCGUCGCCAUUCAUUAUCGACGUCUUCUCUCAAAAACCGGAUGCUGGAAGGAAAAGCCAUACACGCGAGAAGGAGAAGCCGCGGGAACCGUUGCUGACCUGA